GUUCUUUUUGUCGAAAUUAACCGACACAAAGUAAAUUGACAUAUACACGUAGACAAUAUAAAAUGUAUCUGAUAUUUUUUGUUUUCUUAUCGGUUAAACUAUUGUACAUAUUACCUGCGGUAUAUUUUUAACGCGCCUAAAUUGAUAUAGUUAAUCCGGGGAGAGUCGAAUUGCGUUUUUUACCUGUGAAUUGGAAUAGUCGAGAUUUAUUUGGGUUA